rnacentral:rRNA from 1 species
CAGCAGCCGCGGUAACACCGAGGGUGCGAGCGUUAAUCGGAUUUACUGGGCGUAAAGCGUGCGUAGGCGGCUAAUUGAGUCGGAUGUGAAAUCCCCGAGCUUAACUUGGGAAUUGCAUUCGAUACUGGUUAGCUAGAGUGUGGGAGAGGAUGGUAGAAUUCCAGGUGUAGCGGUGAAAUGCGUAGAGAUCUGGAGGAAUACCGAUGGCGAAGGCAGCCAUCUGGCCUAACACUGACGCUGAGGUACGAAAGCAUGGGGAGCAAACAGGAUUAGAUACCCCAGUAGUCCCUGUCUCUUAUAC